CCUACGGGUGGCAGCAGUGGGGAAUAUUGCACAAUGGGGGAAACCCUGAUGCAGCGACGCCGCGUGAGUGAAGAAGUAAUUCGUUACGUAAAGCUCUAUCAGCAGGGAAGAAACACUGACCUUACGGUCAGCCGACGGUACCUGAGUAAGAAGCCCCGGCUAAAUACGUGCCAGCAGCCGCGGCAAUACGUAGGGGGCAAGCGUUAUCCGGAUUUAUUGGGUGGAAAGGGGGCGUAGACGGGGCGCCAAGUCUGGAGUGAAAGGUCGGAGCUUAACUGCGGAACUGCUUUGGAAACUGGCGAACUAGAGUGGGAGAGAGGUAAGCGGAAUUCCUGGUGUAGCGGUGAAAUGCGUAGAUAUUAGGAAGAACACCGGUGGCGAAGGCGGCUUACUGGACCGUAACUGACGUUGAGGCUCGAAAGCGUGGGGAGCAAACAGGAUUAGAUACCCUUAUAGUC
rnacentral:rRNA from 1 species